AGGUGGUCCUGAGGCCGUCACAGAGGCCGUCUGGGGGCCAGCAUGGGCCAGCCGGGUCAGGGUCGGUGCACCGAGAGGAGAGUGAUGUCUGUGACCGGCUGUGCCUGGCCAUCGGGGGCCGGUGCGUCAGGGAGGGACGCUGGUUGGAAGGAAGCUGCCAAGUUCACUGGAGCGUGUGCUUGAGUGCCUGGGGUCUGGGGUCUGCAGAGUGCGCAGGGGAGGCCCUGGUGGGGAUGGGGCCCCAGGGGAAGGCGUGUUCGGGGAGGAGACCGCUUCAUGACGAGACCCUAGGGGAGGCUCCCAAGAAGGCAGAUGUGAGCGCCAGGCCCUUUCACAAGAAGGCUCCAAAAUGAGCCCUGGGAUCUCAGGUUUCUUCCGGCCCCACCCAAGCCCCAGCUGUGUGGUCUCAGGGGAACCCAGGGGCCUUCUGGGAACACUGGGCUUUCUCUGUCAGCCUCCACGACACUUCCCUAAGGAAGAGCGGCCCCAGGCCUUUGUGCAUCUCGGAGCCAUGGGGGAGGGGGCUUUUUGGCUAAACGGCGCUUCCUUCCCACCACGAGGAGCCUGGCGUCUGUGUUUUCUGUCUCCCACAGGGAUGCUGAUGCCCCCUUUCAUCCCAGACUCCAAAACUGUCUACGCGAAGGAUAUUCAGGACGUGGGUGCCUUUUCCACCGUCAAAGGUGUGGCCUUUGACAAAACAGACACAGAAUUCUUUCAGGAAUUUGCCACUGGCAACUGCCCCAUCCCCUGGCAGGAGGAGAUGAUCGAGACGGGCAUCUUCGGCGAGCUGAACGUGUGGCGCUCGGACGGUCAGAUGCCGGACGACAUGAAGGGCAUCUCCGGGGGCUCCAGCUCCUCGUCCAAGUCAGGGAUGUGUCUGGUUUCCUAGGUGACGCCCCGGAGUCCACCUGGAGGAAAAGGACCCACAGGGCUCGGUGGGGGCCGCCUGCCUCCGUGGUGCCAGCCUGGGGUCUGCUAGCAAGGGGACACGUGGUUCCCUCCACCCAGGUCCCCAUCACGCCAUCUCCUCGCGGCCCAAGGAGGAGAAAGCCCGCGUCGGCCUGAGCCGCCAGACGCACACGCUGGUGCCGUGAGCCCCCGACUGCAUAUUUCACGUCUUUUGCUCCAUCUCACUGAGAAGACAUAAGAUGCUCUCCAGAGGGAGUAAGCCAAAAAUCUACAAACUCUUAGGGAGCCUCCUGCAUUGGCGAUUGACCAACCGUGUCGUCAGGGGCAGAGACUCGGCUUGGGCCUCCCAAGACCUUAGCCGUUGGCUUCCCAGAUUCCCAGAGCCACGCUCCUCAGCGGGAGGUGCACGGUGGCCAGGUCAGGGGUUAGUGAACCCUGGUCGCAGCCCCUGGCCCCACUGGGGAGGGCUGGACCUCGGCGCCCUCCAGGUCCCUCUGUGCAGGCUCCUGCCUUCCAGGGUGCCCGGGCCCUGUGCUGGUGGCCUGCACGCCACGUGGUCCCCUGCACCCUGCAGCGCCGUGGUCCUCUGCACACUGGGGCACCACGGUCCCCUGCACUCCGAGGUGCCGUGGUCCACAUCUGCCAGGUGCAGGCUCUGUUGGGCUUUUGGGAGGAGGGGAGCGGGUGUGGAGUCUGGGGGUCUCAGUGCAUCUUGGGGUCUCCUUAUCUCAGGGUGUCCAGCUGACGGCAGCUGGUGCAAAGUUCCCACCCCUGAGCCGGGGGGCUGAAAAUGUUUUCUGUCUUGACCCUGAGUCCCGGAAUCACCUCAGCUGCUCUUGGCGGGCAAAGCCAGGACCGUUUGCUCUCUGACCCCUCCUCCCCACUGGGGCUGGUCCGUCUCAUCUCCCAGGGGACACUUCAGGCCACGGGCCUUGUGCAUAGGGACAGAGCUCCUUGCUGCAACCCCUCUCUGUGUUCCCAGUAGCAGCAGCGCUGGAGUCCUAAAGCCGUAGCCCGGGAAAACACUCACGGCCCACCUUCUCGUACAGCUCGGCCCCACCCACAAUGCACCUGGCAUUUCCAACUGCACUUUGAACACCGAAGGUUCCCCAAAUGCUUUGUGUGUUUUAACUGCAAGAAGUGAGUUCUGUUGCAACUGCCUCCAGGACACACUCCCUCUUGAGCAGCCGGCUCAGAGGGAGUGCAUCCAAGGCGCAGGGAAGCAGUGGUGAUGGGCGGCCUGAGGACUCCUUUCCAGAGAGGGCCUCUGAGCUCCUUUUAGGAAAGAACUUCCUUUGAGCCCCGGCCACUGUUGUACCAGUGGGAGAAGAAGCCUGACCCUGCCACAUGUGGUCACGGGGAGAGAAGAUGGUAGGACGUCCCCGUGAGCCUUGGGGCAGAGCUGGUGGUAGAAAGAAGCCCUGUCUACUCUAAUUUGGUGAGAGGGGCUGCGGCAAGUGGCUGAUGAUGUGACUGAUGGAGACAGGGUGGCUUGGGAAGGUCCCACUUGGGGGUGUCACGUCCUGCAGGGAGUGGAAGAGAUGGAUCCUCCUUAGCCUGGACUGGUGGGUCUCGGCCUCUCUCCCAGAAGUGGCAGAGACAGCUGCCUGAGAGUCAGUGCUGCAGUGGACAGGGCCUAUGCCCUCACAGUCCUCAGGCUGCCAGGUUGUCCUCUUCCUGUUGGGGAGAAGAGGACCCUGGCAAUCCACAAUUUUGGAGAUUUGCUGGCUGCAGCCAAAAUGGGGACCCAACUCCCUCCUAUGUGGUUUUAGAGCUUUUGGAGGGAAGAUAGGCCACGCCCCUGGGUGAGGAGCACAUGUUCCCACAGAUCCCACGUCAGCCACACCCUGGGUGAGGAGCACAUGUUCCCAAGAUCCCACGUCGGCCACACCCUGGGUGAGGAGCACAUGUUCCCACAGAUCCCACGUCGCCACACCCUGGGUGAGGAGCACAUGUUCCCACAGAUCCCACGUCGGCCACACCCUGGGUGAGGAGCACAUGUUCCCACAGAUCCCACGUCGCCACACCCUGGGUGAGGAGCACAUGUUCCCACAGAUCCCACGUCAGCCACACCCUGGGUGAGGAGCACAUGUUCCCACAGAUCCCACGUCGGCCACACCCUGGGUGAGAAGCACAUGUUCCCACAGAUCCCACGUCGGCCACACCCUGGGUGAGGAGCACGUCUUCCCACAGAUCUCAACAGAACUCCACAUCGUCUGGUUUUGUGGAGACUUUCAUGUGUCCUGUCAAGGUGCCUCAUGCACCUGCAGACUGUUCUUGGGAAGGAAAUCUGGACUGCAAAAUAAACCUCCCGGCCUCCUCCU
rnacentral:sRNA from 1 species